AUACGGAGGAUGCGAGCGUUAUCCGGAUUUAUUGGGUUUAAAGGGUGCGUAGGCGGGCUGUUAAGCGUGAGGUGAAAGCUCGGGGCUCAACCCCGGAACUGCCUCGCGAACUGGCGGUCUUGAAUGUCCUUGCCGUGGGAGGAAAGUGUGGUGUAGCGGUGAAACGCAUAGAGAUCACACAGAACACCGAUUGCGAAGGCAUCUCACGAACGGAUGAUUGACGCUGAGGCACGAAAGCGUGGGGAUCAAACAGGAUUAGAUACCCUGGUAUCCCACGCCGUAAACGAUGAUGACUAACCGUCGGCGAUAGACAGCCGGUGGCCAAGCGAAAGCGAUAAGUCAUCCACCUGGGGAGUACGUCGGCAACGAUGAAACUCAAAUGAAUUGACGGGG
rnacentral:rRNA from 1 species